rnacentral:rRNA from 1 species
UGGGGAAUCUUGGACAAUGGGGGCAACCCUGAUCCAGCCAUGCCGCGUGAGUGAUGAAGGCCUUAGGGUCGUAAAGCUCUUUCGCCUGUGAAGAUAAUGACGGUAGCAGGUAAAGAAACCCCGGCUAACUCCGUGCCAGCAGCCGCGGUAAUACGGAGGGGGUUAGCGUUGUUCGGAAUUACUGGGCGUAAAGCGCACGUAGGCGGACCAGAAAGUUAGAGGUGAAAUCCCAGGGCUCAACCUUGGAACUGCCUUUAAAACUGCUAGUCUAGAGACCGGAAGAGGUUAGGGGAAUACCUAGUGUAGAGGUGAAAUUCGUAGAUAUUAGGUGGAACACCAGUGGCGAAGGCGCCUAACUGGUCCGGUACUGACGCUGAGGAACGAAAGCGUGGGGAGCAAAC